GUGUCAGCCGCCGCGGUAAGACGAGGGGUCCAAGCGUUGUUCGGAAUUAUUGGGCGUAAAGCGGGUGUAGGUGGCUCUAUAAGUCAGGAGUGAAAUCCCCAAGCUUAACUUGGGAAGUGCUUUUGAUACUGCAGAGCUUGAAUGUGGGAGAGGAUAGUAGAAUUCCAGGUGUAGUGGUGAAAUACGUAGGUAUCUGGAGGAAUACCGGAGGCGAAGGCGGCUAUCUGGCCCAACAUUGACACUGAGACCCGAAAGCGUGGGGAUCAAACAGGAUUAGAUACCCUGGUAGUCC
rnacentral:rRNA from 1 species